rnacentral:rRNA from 1 species
GGAUGCGAUCAUACCAGCACUAAAGCACCGGAUCCCAUCAGAACUCCGAAGUUAACCGUGCUUGGCCGAGAGUAGUACUAGGAUGGGUGACCUCCUGGGAAGUCCUCGUGUUGCAUUCC